GAUGAACGCAGCGACAGGCCUAACACAUGCAAGUCGAGGGGCAUCGGGACGUAGCGAAUACGGUUGCCGGCGACCGGCGGAUGGGUGAGUAACGCGUAUGCAACUACCCGUAGCAGGGGGAUAGCCCGUUGAAAGACGGAUUAAUACCCCGUAACACAGGGGGCUCCGCAUGGAGAUUAUUGUUAAAGGGUCAUUUCUUUUAGAGGUGGUCCGGCUGCGGAUGGGCAUGCGUUCCAUUAGGUAGUUGGUGUAGGUAACGGCUCACCAAGCCGACGAUGGAUAGGGGAACUGAGAGGUUGGUCCCCCACACUGGUACUGAGACACGGACCAGACUCCUACGGGAGGCAGCAGUGAGGAAUCUUGGUCAAUGGACGCAAGUCUGAACCAGCCAUGUCGCGUGAAGGAGGACGGCCCUAAGGGUUGUAAACUUCUUUUGCAGCGGAAUAAAGUUUGCCACGAGUUGGCGAUUUGCAAGUACGCUGCGAAUAAGGAUCGGCUAACUCCGUG
rnacentral:rRNA from 1 species